GAUCAUGGCUCAGGAUGAACGCUGGCGGCGUGCUUAACACAUGCAAGUCGAACGGACUUUAUAUGAAGCCUAGCGAUUAUAAAGUUAGUGGCGGACGGGUGAGCAACGCGUGAAUAACCUGCCCUGUACCGGGGGACAACAGUUGGAAACGACUGCUAAUACCGCAUAAGCGCACGGUUCCGCAUGGAACAGUGUGAAAAACUCCGGUGGUACAGGAUGGAUCCGCGUCUGAUUAGGUAGUUGG
rnacentral:rRNA from 1 species